AAACUCAAAUGAAUUGACGGGGGCCCGCACAAGCGGAGGAACAUGUGGUUAAUUCGAUGAUACGCGAGGAACCUUACCUGGGCUUAAAUGGGGAGUGACAGCUGUCGAAAGAUGGUUUCUUCGGACACUCUUCAAGGUGCUGCAUGGUUGUCGUCAGCUCGUGCCGUGAGGUGUCGGGUUAAGUCCCAUAACGAGCGCAACCCUUACCGUUAGUUACCAUCAGGUUAAGCUGGGGACUCUAGCGGGACUGCCACCGUAAGGUGAGAGGAAGUGGGGAUGACGUCAAAUCAGCACGGCCCUUAUGUCCAGGGCUACACACGUGUUACAAUGGCCAGUACAAAGGGCAGCUACCGGGUGACCGGAUGCUAAUCUCUAAAGCUGGUCUCAGUUCGGAUCGAAGUCUGCAACCCGACUUCGUGAAGCUGGAUUCGCUAGUAAUCGCGCAUCAGCUAUGGCGCGGUGAAUACGUUCCCGGGCCUU
rnacentral:rRNA from 1 species